rnacentral:misc_RNA from 1 species
GUAUAAGGUUUAAAGGCACUGGAGCCCAAUUUUACAUUCUGUUACAUACUACGGGUAUAUGAAAAAAAACGUAGGCUUGGAAGUGCAAAGAAAGCCGACGCAAAGAGCGCAGCAUUCCUCCCGACCGAGUUACCUCGGAAAAUUCAUCCAGGUCUACAAGAGGUGCACAGGUGGAGAGAUGAGGAUGGCGGGUGUGCACAUGCCCCCACAAGAGAGCCAGCAACAACCACACCAAAUUCAUUCAAUAAUGAUCCUUCCGCAGGUUCACCUACGGAAA